rnacentral:lncRNA from 1 species
AGGUUUUUUACUCAAAUCAAUCUAAUCCGUACUUUUAGGGAAUUGUAUGUGAAGUUGAAAAUAAGAUUUUGCCAAUUUGGAAUUUCAAAUGUACCAACCUAGGCGUACAGAAAUUGGAGUUUAAUAGGGAUACUCCCUAAUGUUAGUAUGCCAUGGUAUCAAUAAUAAUUUGAUCAACAAUUCUACCUUUUAAGAAUAUAAGGAAAUUUUAUUUCUAUCAGUUUUACAGAAAAUACGGUUUUUAUGAAACCUAUUUAUUUGAAUUAAAAUAUUUAUUCCACUAUAAAUGUUUCUUUGAAUUAUAUACAUUUCAUGUAAAAGUUAGUAACUAUCACUAUGAUUAAUAGCAUUUUUCUCUAUUUUUUGUAGGUAAGCUCUUUUAAAAAGGAAGAAAAAAAUCUUAUUUUCUAUGUACGCUGUAUCUCGUUUACUUUCUCAUCGCCCGUGAGGUAUGAUUUCUCAAUCUACUGUUACACAGUUAAGUUUUUACCUGCAAACCCACUGACCCAGGAAGGUAAGCUGCAAGCUAAUUUCUUGCUCCAAAUGCCAGUUAUGUACUCUUAACUUUUUUCUCACUUCUCCAUUUGGUAAGACCAUGACUCAAUUCCAUUAAAUUUAAACCAGUCAUUCAUAAAAAGCUGUUCUAAAGGUAAUUAUUCUUGAAUCGAUAGGCUUAACUUUGUUCGAUUCUACAUCUUCUUCCAGAAAUUUUCUAGAUAAAAAGAGGCAUUACAAGUAUAAUUAAAAAGACAUUUAAGUAACUUAAAACCAAAUGAAAAGAACAUUAGUAAUGCGCAAGCUUUUAUAAAAAGGCUUAUUCUUACUUCUUUUCCCUCAAUACAACAUUUUCCCUUAGACCCUGUAAUUACGCUAGUUUUGUGCUUUUACAAGCACCCUUCAUUGUUUUCCUGAAAAAGAAGAUCCUGAAAAAUGCCUCUUUUGUUUUCAAAAACUUAAACGUUUACUUUUGUGGCAGCACUUCGGAAAGAAAACUGCCAUUAAAGCAAUGGUUCUUGCGAUGUAAUUAUUUCCCGCUCUUUUCUAAAUGAGAAAGAAUAAGAUGAAUAAAUAGUUGUUAAAAAACGUUGUUUCCUUAACACGGCGCCUGGAAUCGUAGAGGACAUUCAUUGAAUUUUUGAGUAAUUAAAUCAUUUGCGAAGAGUGUGUAUCAACAGUUAAUUGGAGAAGAUAUAUUUUUUUUUAUCUAAUAGUUCGAACUAAUUUGUUUUAAAUUGUCAUUUACAAAUGUUUUUUAUCAAUUUUAAUUUGCAACAUAAAAUUUAUUUCGUGCAACAACAAAAAAAAAAAUCUAAAUUUAUGUAAGGGAGUAGAUAUGAGUUCGGGCUCACUUUUGUAAGCCCGAGCUCGAAGAAUUUUAUUCCCGACACACCCUAUCCCGAGAUACAUCGAAUUACUUAGAGCCUGGAUAUACGAUAUAUGGGGAUGGACAUACGUCAGAUAAAAGUCAAAUUUGCGGUCUCACUAUUAGGCCUUUUCUGCCUAAACAAGAAAAUAAUUCAUUAAAACCUUUUUACCACAGUUGAUUUAUAUUAUUUAAAUUUUUUAUGCUAAGUAACUAUACUAAACGUUUGUUUUAAAGUAGUUAAAAAGUUUAUCAAAAUUUUCUCUCGAGUCCGAGCCCACCUGAGUCUGAAAACUUUUUACAGUCCGUGGCAGGCUCGGUCUAAGCCCGUCUCAUCUCCAGAGGGGACAAAUAGUGAUUAUUUCUCCUGUUAAGUUCCAUUGUUAAGUUAUUCCAAUCUUUAGAUUAUAUUCUAAAGCAAAAUCUAUUAUAAAAAUGCGUUCAAAUUAUUUUUUAAAAAAAACUAAAAAUUUUUAUACUUAAAACCUAACUAUUAUUCUACAUAUUUUAAUACGAUUGCACUUACGAUUAUUAGCACACUAGCAAGCGCCACAUAUUUGCUAAACUUUAAACUAUUUUUUCCAUUAAUUUAGUUAUCAAUGUUGGAGGCUUUAAAUUGAAGAGAACUCGAUAAUAUCUUGAUCGCCGAUUGGAUAUACUUCAUGUAAAAAUAUAUUCUCAUUACUAGAAAUAUUCGAAUACGAUGCUCUCAUAACUCAUUUACAAAGUUCUUUCCACUCGUUUACCUUAUUUCCGAGUCUUUAAAAAUAAACUGGCUUUCUCAGAAUUUUGUCCUCAAUGUUUGAAAUGCUGAGAUCGUUGCUUAGUCUAUCAUUUUCUGGUAAAUAGUAAAUCAUUAAGUACUCGAAACAGGGUGCGCAGCGUUUUUAAAAAGUGCUUUAAGGUGCUUAUUUUCGAUUUUCGUUUUUUAAAAGCCCUUAAAGGUGCUUUUAUUCAUUAGGUGUUUUUAGAAAUGCUUAAUUUUCCUUUUUCAA